rnacentral:rRNA from 1 species
ACGCUAGCGGCAGGCUUAACACAUGCCCUUUGAGGGGCAUCGGGAGGGAAGCUUGCUUUCCUUGCCGGCGACCGGCGCACGGGUGAGUAACACGUAUGCAACCUGCCCUCUUCAGGGGGACAACCUUCCGAAAGGGAGGCUAAUCCCGCGUAUAUCGGUUUCGGGCAUCCGAGAUCGAGGAAAGAUUCAUCCGAAGAGGAUGGGCAUGCGGCGCAUUAGCUAGACGGCGGGGUAACGGCCCACCGUGGCGACGAUGCGUAGGGGUUCUGAGAGGAAGGUCCCCCACACUGGUACUGAGACACGGACCAGACUCCUACGGGAGGCAGCUGUGAGGAAUAUUGGCCAAUGGGAGAGAUCCUGAACCAGCCAAGCCGCGUGAGGGAAGACGGCCUUAUGGGUUGUAAACCUCUUUUGUCGGAGAACAAAACCCGGGACGAGUCCCGGACUGCGUGUAUCCGAAGAAAAAGCAUCGGCUAACUCCGUGCCAGCAGCCGCGGUAAUACGGAGGAUGCGAGCGUUAUCCGGAUUUAUUGGGUUUAAAGGGUGCGUAGGCGGUCCGUUAAGUCAGCGGUAAAUUUGCGGGGCUCAACCCCCGUCGAGCCGUUGAAACUGGCAGACUUGAGUUGGCGAGAAGUACGCGGAAUGCGCGGUGUAGCGGGGAAAUGCAUGGAUAUCGCGCAGAACUCCGAUUGCGAAGGCAGCGUACCGGCGCCAGACUGACGCUGAGGCACGAAAGCGUGGGGAUCGAACAGGAUUAGAUACCCUGGUAGUCCACGCAGUAAACGAUGAAUGCUGGUUGUCCGGGUCGAAUGAGACCUGGGCGGCGAAGCGAAAGCGAUAAGCAUUCCACCUGGGGAGUACGCCGGCAACGGUGAAACUCAAAGGAAUUGACGGGGGCCCGCACAAGCGGAGGAACAUGUGGUUUAAUUCGAUGAUACGCGAGGAACCUUACCCGGGCUCAAACGGGAGUGGAAUGGACCAGAGACGGUUCAGCCUACGGGCCGCUUCCGAGGUGCUGCAUGGUUGUUGUCAGCUCGUGCCGUGAGGUGUCGGCUUAAGUGCCAUAACGAGCGCAACCCCCGCCGGCAGUUGCUAACGGGCAAUGCCGAGGACUCUGCCGGGACUGCCGCCGCAAGGCGUGAGGAAGGCGGGGAUGACGUCAAAUCAGCACGGCCCUUACGUCCGGGGCGACACACGUGUUACAAUGGGCGGUACAGCGGGAAGCCAGGCGGCGACGCCGAGCGGAACCCGAAAGCCGUUCUCAGUUCGGAUCGGAGUCUGCAACCCGACUCCGUGAAGCUGGAUUAGCUAGUAAUCGCGCAUCAGCCAUGGCGCGGUGA